AAACCAACAGGGAUUGCCUUAGUAGCGGCGAGUGAAGCGGCAAAAGCUCAAAUUUGAAAUCUGGCACCUUCGGUGUCCGAGUUGUAAUUUGAAGAUUGUAACCUUGGGGUUGGCUCUUGUCUAUGUUUCUUGGAACAGGACGUCACAGAGGGUGAGAAUCCCGUGCGAUGAGAUGCCCAAUCCUAUGUAAGGUGCUUUCGAAGAGUCGAGUUGUUUGGGAAUGCAGCUCUAAGUGGGUGGUAAAUUCCAUCUAAAGCUAAAUAUUGGCGAGAGACCGAUAGCGAACAAGUACAGUGAUGGAAAGAUGAAAAGAACUUUGAAAAGAGAGUGAAAAAGUACGUGAAAUUGUUGAAAGGGAAGGGUUUGAGAUCAGACUCGAUAUUUUGUGAGCCUUGCCUUCGUGGCGGGGUGACCCGCAGCUUAUCGGGCCAGCAUCGGUUUGGGCGGUAGGAUAAUGGCGUAGGAAUGUGACUUUGCUUCGGUGAAGUGUUAUAGCCUGCGUUGAUGCUGCCUGCCUAGACCGAGGACUGCGAUUUUAUCAAGGAUGCUGGCAUAAUGAUCCCAAACCGCCCGUCUUGAAAC
rnacentral:rRNA from 1 species